CGAGAAAGCCCGCAAGGGUGAGUACAGCGGCGCACGGGUGCGUAACACGUGGGUAAUCUACCUUGGAGUCCGGAAUAACUCCCCGAAAGGGGUGCUAAUGCCGGAUGAGACCACGGGAGCUUCGGCUUCUGCGGGAAAAGGCGGCCUCUGUAAACAAGCUGUCGCUCCAAGAUGAGCCCGCGGCCCAUCAGCUCGUUGGCGGGGUAAUGGCCCACCAAGGCUACGACGGGUAGCUGGUCUGAGAGGACGAUCAGCCACACUGGAACUGAGACACGGUCCAGACUCCUACGGGAGGCAGCAGUGGGGAAUCUUGCGCAAUGGGCGAAAGCCUGACGCAGCAACGCCGCGUGUGUGAUGAAGGUCUUCGGAUCGUAAAGCACUGUCGCGAGGGACG
rnacentral:rRNA from 1 species